UACGUAGGUGGCAAGCGUUGUCCGGAUUUAUUGGGUUUAAAGGGUGCGUAGGCGGUCUUUUAAGUCAGUGCUGAAAUACUCCAGCUUAACUGGAGGGGUGGCAUUGAUACUGGAAGACUUGAGUAUAGUUGAGGUAGGCGGAAUUGACGGUGUAGCGGUGAAAUGCUUAGAUAUCGUCAAGAACACCGAUAGUGAAGACAGCUUACGAAGCUAUAACUGACGCUGAGGCACGAAAG
rnacentral:rRNA from 1 species